ACUCUCGGCAACGGAUAUCUCGGCUCUCGCAUCGAUGAAGAAUGUAGCGAAAUGCGAUACCUGGUGUGAAUUGCAGAAUCCCGCGAACCAUAGAGUCUUUGAACGCAAGUUGCGCCCGAGGGCACGCUUGCCUGGCCGUCACGCCAAAACACGCUCCCAACCACCCUCUUCGGGAAUUGGGAUGCGGCAUAUGGUCCCUCGUCCUGCAAGGGGCGGUGGGCCGAAGAUCGGGCUGCCGGCGUACCGCAUCAGACACAGCGCAUGGUGGGCGUUCUCGCUUUAUCAAUGCAGUGUAUCCGACGCGUAGACGGCAUCAUGGCCUCGAAACGACCCAGCGAACGAAGUGCAUGUCGCUUCGACCGCGACCCCAGGUCAGGCGGGACUACCCGCUGAGUUUAAGCAUAUAAAUAAGCGAAGGUGAAGAAACUUACAAGGAUUCCCCUAGUAACGGCGAGCAAACCGGGAACAACCCAGCUUGAGAAUGCAGCCCAAAUCGGGCGGUAGACUCCGUCCAAGGCUAAAUACAAGCGAGAGACCGAUAGCGAACAAGUACCGCGAGGGAAAUAUGAAAAGGACUUUGCAAAGGGAGUCAAAGAGUGCUUGAAAUUUCUGGGAGGGAAGCGGAUGGGGGCCGGGGAUGCGCCCCGGCCGUAUGCGGAACGGCUCUUGCUGGUCCGCCGCUCGGCUCGGGGUGUGGACUGUUGUCGGCGGCGUCGGCGGCCAAACCCGGGGGCCCUAGGUGCCUCCGGUUGCCGUCGUCGACACGACCGGUACCCGCGCGCCGAAAGGCGUGUCCCUUGGAACACUGCGCUGCCACGGCCUACGGGCUCCCCAUCCGACCUGUCUUGAAACACAGACCAAGGAGUCUGACAUGCGUGCGAGUCGACGGGUUUUGAAACCUGGGAUGCGCAAGGAAGCUGACGAGCGGGAGGCCCUCACGGGCCGCACCGCUGGCCAACCCUGAUCUUCUGUGAAGGGUUCGAGUUGGAGCACGCCUGUCGGGACCCGAAAGAUGGUGAACUAUGCCUGAGCGGGGGGAAGCCAUAGGAAACUGUGGUGGAGGCUCGAAGCGAUACUGACGCUCAAAUCGUUCGUCUGACUUGGGUAUAGGGUCGAAAGACUAAUCGAACCAUCUAGUAGCUGGUUCCCUCCGAAGUUGCCCUCAGGAUAGCUGGAGCCCAUUAGGAGUUCUAUCAGGUAAAGCCAAUGAUUAGAGGCAUUGGGGAGGCAACGUCCUCGACCUAUUCUCAAACUUUAAAUAUGUAGGAUGGCUCGGCUGCUUCGGUGAGCCGUGCCACGGAAUCGGGUGCUCCAAGUGGGCCAUUUUUGGUAAGCAGAACUGGCGAUGCGGGAUGAACCGGAAGCCGGGUUACGGUGCCCAACUGCGCGCUAACCUAGAACCCACAAAGGGUGUUGGUCGAUUAAGAACGCAGGAUGGUGGUCAUGGAAGUCGAAAUCCGCUAAGGAGUGUGUAACAACUCACCUGCCGAAUCAACUAGCCCCGAAAAUGGAUGGCGCUGAACCGCGCGACCCACACCCGGCCAUCUGGGCAAGCGCCAUGCCCCGAUGAGUAGGAGGGCGCGGCGGCCGCUGCAAAAGCCGGGGCGCGAGCCCGGGCGGAGCGGCCAUCGGUGCAGAUCUUGGUGGUAGUAGCAAAUAUUCAAAUGAGAACUUUGAAGGCCGAAGAGGAGAAAGGUUCCAUGUGAACGACACUUGCACAUGGGUAAGCUGAUCCUAAGGGACGGGGUAACCCCGGCAGAUAGCGCGAUCACGCGCAUCCCCCGAAAGGGAAUCGGGUUAAGAUUUCCCGAGCCGGGAUGUGGCGGUUGACGGCGACGUUAGGAAUUCCGGAGACGCCGGCGGGGGCCUCAGGAAGAGUUAUCUUUUCUGCUUAACAGCCUGCCAACCCUGGAAACGGUUCAGCCGGAGGUAGGGUCCAGUGGCCGGAAGAGCACCGCAGGUCGCCCGGUGUCCGGUGCGCCCCCGACGGCCCAUGAAAAUCUGGAGAACCGAGUACCGUUCACGCCCGGUCGUACUCAUAACCGCAUCAGGUGUUCAAGGUGAACAGCCUCUGGCCAAUGGAACAAUGUAGGCAAGGGAAGUCGGCAAAACGGAUCCGUAACUCCGGGAAAAGGAUUGGCUCUGAGGACUGGGCUCGGGGGUCCCGGCCCCGAACCCGUCGGCUGUUGGCGGAUUGCUCGAGCUGCUCACGCGGCGAGAGCGGGUCGCCGCGUGCCGGCCGGGGGACGGACCGGGAAUCGCCCCUUCGGGAGCUUUCCUCGAGCAUGAAACAUUCGACUCAAAACUGGUAGGGACAAGGGGAAUCCGACUGUUUAAUUAAAACAAAGCAUUGUGAUGGUCCUCGCGGAUGCUGACGCAAUGUGAUUUCUACCAAGUUCUCUGAAUGUCAAAGNGGUGGGCGUUCUCGCUUUAUCAAUGCAGUGUAUCCGACGCGUAGACGGCAUCAUGGCCUCGAAACGACCCAGCGA
rnacentral:rRNA from 1 species